AAGUGCAAAGGGCAAAUCAUGGGAAACCGUGAGACGCAAAGCCAAGGGCCUGAACCACGACGAUUGACCUAGCGUGGAUGGCAGCCGGUUGCCACA
rnacentral:ncRNA from 1 species